CGCGGCGGUUGGCAGGCCGGGCGGGCUCCGGGCUGGGGAGCUUCCGCCGGGAAGCCGGAGCCCGGAGCUGCAGCCCCGCGUUUGCAGGAUUUUUUUUUUUUUUUUUUGGUUAGAGAAACAGACAAGACACCACCUCAGCAGAUAAGAACGGCUCCCUCAAUUUCCCGGAUUUCUAGCAGGGGCUGGAGAUGUUGAGGUUGAUUGAUUUCCCGGGUAGAUACUUUCCAGCGACCAAACUAGGCCGAGCUCCACCUCCUUCACCAGCACCCCCGGCGCUCGCGAGCUCUCCCCGCGAGUCUCCUGAGCCGUUCCAGCCCCCGCCCUCGAAUCCCCUCUCCCGGCCCCUGUCUCCCCCUCGGCCCUGCCCGCCCCUGCCCUGCCCGCGGAGGCGCGGAGAGGCCCGCACGGUGGGCCCCGCGGCCCCAGGAGCCAAAGUCCGCCCGUGGGGACCGUUUUCCUCUCCACUGCUCUCAAGUGAACAACAAGGACGGAGGUGACCCGCGUCCAAAGGGCUUUUAUCUGCGCCCCCCCGCCCCCGCCGCGUGAUCCCGCCGCAGGUUGGAGGCAGAGCUUAAAAAGAAAAAGAAAGUUAAUGUGCGUUGAGCACAGAUCUUAAAUCGGGACAUUAUCUGCAAUCUCUUUAAGUGGCAGCAGCAGUUCCUUACAGAACAAAGCCUCAGUGUUUGAGCUCCAGAAGCUUUUAGGUAAAGUUUCAAGCAGAUAAAAGCAAUCGAGGCGCAAAAACACAGGUUUUCUCGGCUCCAGAAAACCGGCGGCUACUUUUCGCUCUAAGUUCCCUGGCGUGGUGUUUGUCCUCGCCUGCUGUGUUUGUGAGUGUGUGUGCGUGUGUGUGUGUGUGUGUGUGUGUGUGUGAGUGUGUGUGUGCAUGAGCGCGCGGAGGGGGAUGGGUGACAAGAAUAACAAAAGACCUUAGCACUCCCCCCCCCAUCCUCCUAGGGCCUUGGUGAUGAAUUCUUCGGGACUAAGCUGUAUUUGCGUCUAUUUGUUAUGAAAUCAAAUUUCACAUUUUUUAAAAAAGAGCCCAAAACCACCGAUCAAGGAGGAGCGGUGCUUAAAGUUCUUUUAAACACUCACACCGGCCUCAAAUCCCCGUUUAGAUGUCAGUGGAUGGGAGGGAGGGCUGGGGAUGUAAUUCAUCUUGAUUUGCUUCAUUGUCCUGCAGUUUGCAAACUAUAAUCCUGUAUAAUUUCAGGAACAAGCAGGUUUAGAAUUAAUGGGUCAAUAUUAUUUAAAACAAAACACAGGGAGCAUGACCUUUGCCUCAACUACAUAUUGCUCGACAAGACUCAGGAAACUCCACUCUAACCUCUCAACCCCUGGGCUCUUUGAGAAACUGAAGGGCUGUAGUUAUUAGAAAUGGUCUUUGUUUCUUUUAAUGUCUCCAAAGGAUUUGGAAAUAGUAAUGCAAUAUAACAUGAAGGAUCUCUCUACUUAAGCCUGAAAGAUAAACGUGGAGGCCUAAAUAUUUUGAUCUGGA